ensembl:lncRNA
UCUGAUUCCCUUCUGAGGUCCUCUCAGUCGUCGCGCUCCGAGUGGUAACCUGAGUCUGGGCACGGCGGGCACUCACGGUGAGGAAGCCCCCACCCUCUGGCGCACACCGGGCGUGUGGAGCCUGGAGCUCAGGCCUGUGUAGGCGUGUAUAAGAGUGUGUGAGCGGUUGUGGCAGUAACGAGGCGGGGUGUGUGUGCGGUGAUGAGGCCGUGUCUGGUGCAAGAUGCGGGACCCUUUGGGUGACCGUGAUCGGCUGUGAUGUUGAGGUAGGUGACACUGUGGGGCUUGAGACCGCCCUUCAGAAGACGAUGCUGUUGUUACCUAGUAUGGUGGAAGAGGCUUUUAAUUUUGUGACCGGGUGGGAGUUUGGUUGUGUCACGGGGUAGAGCUUUAUUUCUGCAGUUCUGGUUUAACGUCGGGACUGAGGCGAUCUGUUGAAGAUCUCCCUGAGAGUGUAUCUGUGCCUGUCAAGACGACGAUGCCUGUAUUAACCAGAGUUGCACUGAAGCACGGCCUGAGCUGCUUUUGUCAGCACCUCCACCUCCAGUGCCCAGACUCCAGUGCUUAACGCGAAAGUGGGUAUCAGUGGAGUGAGUGUUGCCUGCCUAGGGGCCAAUUUUAGGUUCUAUUGUUUCUUAGUAUCUGUAUCCUUUUAUCACUGCUUUCUCUUUUCUCCCACUUUAUAGCCAGGACAACAGCUGCAAAGAAAUGGUCACAAAAAGGGGAGUCAGAUAUUUGAGUGGUGGGAUAAAGGUUAUAUACAAGCAAGAAAGCACAAACCUGUUUUUGGAAUGAGUUUUGGGGCUGGGAGUGUCCCUUAGGCAGAGUCCUAGGAAGACCUGUAGAGAGCCUAGGAGUAGGAUUCCUUCCUCAGAGGAUCUCUUUUGGGAGCUGAGGUCAAGUUCCAUGUUUCAGAACCACAUCAUUUCCAAAGCUGUCUCCCCAGGAAACUUGCUGUGAACUUAGAGAAAGUUUCAGCUCUGGUUAUCAGUGACCCUGGCCUUUCCCUUUGAUACUAAGGAAGGUUAGUAGUACUCCCAUCUCCCCUUUACUUCCAUCUGAGUAUGUGUGUGGUAGAUGACUGAGCUUGGGUGGUGUUGAAGAAUUUCUUCCAGUUUAGCCAGUUCAUGCUCUAAGAAAGGUCUGGUGUCUCAUGAGUCCUUACUUCCCUUCUCUUCACCCUUCCCCUGCAGUGCAGCUCUCUGAAAGAAAAGCCCUGGGGAAAGGAAAACGUUACAGAGCAUACCUGAAAACCAAGCUCAAGGUCAGGGAUUUUGUUGUUGUUAUUCUCUUUGUUUUAGUUUUUCAGAAAAGGGAAGUAUUUGCUCUCCUUCUCCUGAAAUGGUUAGGUUACAAUCAGGCAGGGCCUUGUGAUGUACUUCGACUAAUAAAAUGUGGUGGAAGUGAGACUUUCAAGAUAAAGCCUUAGGAGGUCUUGCAGCUUUUGCUCUUUCCCUCUUCCUGCCUUGAGACCACCAGGUACUAAAGGCUAAGACUAGCUUGCUUGAAGACAAAAGAUCACUUGGAGACAGAGGCCAAGCUAACAACAACAACUGCCAGAUGUUUCAUUGAGACCAUUUGGUCCCUCCAGCCCCCACCAAGCCACCAGCUGGCUGCUGUCACCUGAGUGAGAUCAGCAGAAGCACCACUCAGCCAAGCCAAGCCCGAAUUGCCAACCCCCGGAAUGAUGAGCUAAUUAAUGGUUUUGUUUUAAGCCACAAACUUUUGGGGGUGGUUACAUAGCAAUAGAUAUCUGAAACUGCUGUUUAAACUUCUAGACAUUUUCUAUCACCCUAUACUGAUAUAAUUGUAUUGGUCAACCUGCUUUGUUAACUGAUUUCUCUACUGAUGUUAUACCUUGAAAAUAUUCCAUAUCCUAAAUUUUCUACAACUUUGCAUCUA